rnacentral:rRNA from 1 species
CCGGCACGGGUGAGUAACACGUAUCCAACCUGCCGUCUACUCUUGGACAGCCUUCUGAAAGGAAGAUUAAUACAAGAUGGCAUCAUGAGUCCACAUGUUCACAUGAUUAAAGGUAUUCCGGUAGACGAUGGGGAUGCGUUCCAUUAGUUUGUUGGCGGGGUAACGGCCCACCAAGACUACGAUGGAUAGGGGUUCUGAGAGGAAGGUCCCCCACAUUGGAACUGAGACACGGUCCAA